GACGAACGCUGGCAGCGUGCUUAACACAUGCAAGUCGAGCGAGGUCCAUCCGGUGGCAACACCGGAGAAGACCUAGCGGCGAACGGGUGAGUAACACGUGAGCAACCUGCCCCGAAGACCGGGAUAACAUCGGGAAACCGGUGCUAAUACCGGAUGCCCUCAUCGGACCGCAUGAUCUGAUGAGGAAAUGGAUUCCGCUUCGGGAGGGGCUCGCGGGCUAUCAGCUUGUUGGUGAGGUAACGGCUCACCAAGGCUACGACGGCUAGCUGGUCUGAGAGGACGACCAGCCACACUGGGACCGAGACACGGCCCAGACUCCUGCGGGAGGCAGCAGUGGGGAAUCUUGCGCAAUGGGCGAAAGCCUGACGCAGCAACGCCGCGUGGGGGAUGAAGGCCUUCGGGUCGUAAACCCCUUUCAGCAGGGACGAAACUGACGGUACCUGCAGAAGAAGCCCCGGCCAACUACGUGCCAGCCGCCGCAGUAACAC
rnacentral:rRNA from 1 species